rnacentral:rRNA from 1 species
UACGAACUGUGCGAACGUUAUUCGGAAUCACUGGGCUUACAGGGUGCGUAGGCGGCUUGUUAAGUAGGGUGUGAAAGCCCCCGGCUCAACCGGGGAAUUGCGCCCUAAACUGGCGAGCUGGAGUGAGAUAGGGGUGUGUGGAACUUCCGGUGGAGCGGUGAAAUGUGUUGAGAUCGGAAGGAACGCCCGUGGCGAAAGCGCGGUCCUGGACGCCUGCUGACGCUGAGACGCGAAAGCCAGGGGAGCGAACGGG